rnacentral:snoRNA from 1 species
AGCCGAUGAUGGUUUCAGUAUCAGAGUAGUUGACAGAAGUGAUUUCUGAAAACUCCGUACUGAGGCU